AUUGCAGGGAAGUACAAAAAGUCCCUAUGUUCCCCACACCCAUUUUCCCCUAUUAUUAGCCCUUUACCUUGGUAUGGUACAUUUGUCACAGAUAGUGAACCAGCGCUGAUACAUUAUUAACUAGAAUUCAUACUUCAUUCAGAUUUCCUCAGUUUUCCCCAGUGUUCUCCUUCUGCCUCAGGAUCCCAUCCAGCACAACCCAUUACAUUUAGUCAUCAUGUCUCUUUAAGCCCCUCUUGUCUAUGACAGUUUCUGGCACUCCUUGGUUUUGAUGGCCUUGGCAGUUUUGAGGAGUACUAGCCGGAUAUUAGAAGGGGUGAUGUGUUUUGCAAAGAAGACCACAGAGGUGAAGUGCCGUCAUCGCAGCAUAAAAGCCAUCAGUAUUCACCGAUAUACCCACUACAAGGGGAUUUGCCAUCAGUGUGCCCUCUCACUGUUAUGUUAACCUCACUUAUCUGGCUCUGGUUGUUUGUCAGCUUCCUCCACUGUAGAGUUACUCCUUUUUUUCCACACCCUUUCCCGUACUGUACUCUUUGGAAAGAAGUUACUGCCCGCAGCCACACUUGAGAUGUGGGGAGUUAUAUUCUACUCCCUAAGAGCAGCAUAUCUGUAUUAAUUAUUUGGAAUGCUGCUUAAGAGAUUUAUCUGUUCUUCUUCAUCUGUUUAUUUAUUCAGGCAUUUAUUUAUAUUAGUAUGGGCUCAGAGAUAUUUACUUUAUACUUUGAGUUAUAAUCAAAGUUCUGCCACUUCAUUUAUUAAUUUGUUGCUCAAAUUAUUCCAGAUUCAGCCAUUAGGAGCUUUUUCUGCUUUUGCUCAAUGAGUUCCCAUCAUGGCUCAGUGAUUAGCGAAUCUGACUAGGAACCAUGAGGUUGCGGGUUCGAUCCCUGGCCUUGCUCAGUGGGUUAAGGAUCUUGCGUGGCUAUGGCUGUGGUGUAGGCCAGUGGCUACAGCUCCGAUUGAACCCCUAGCCUGGGAAUCUCCAGUUGGUGCCUGUGUGGCCCUAGAAAAGGCAAAAAGAC
rnacentral:lncRNA from 1 species